rnacentral:lncRNA from 1 species
CGACACCAGACACCCAUUGAGAUGCAAUAACUUAUACUGAGAUCUUGAACCAGUGUUUCAAAGAGGGCUAAAUAACUUGUUCAUCUUCUUAUAGUACUAUUGGAAUUUUUUUUUUACCUUUAAUCCUUGGGUGAGGGUUCGAUCACCUGGACCAUGUGUCUUAAGCCAUUCCGUUGCAACUACAUCGUUUCCAAGUGCAUCCUUGGCUGGAGUACCACCACCUCCACCUCCGGUUCUAUAUUUUUCAUAGAAACAUAGAGAUUGUGAAUCAAGAACAUUGAAUUAAAAUCUCAUUAACCUCACAUCUUAGUAACACAAAAGAAGCCAUACAGUGACUCAUACAUAUUGGAACCAGAACCAAAACCAAAAGCUAAUAGCAAUACAAAAGCAAAUUCAAACUUCACCACAUAUAUUUUCAACAUAAUAAUGCGAUCAAUGUUAAUGCCAAAUUCAUGAAUCUCAUUCGAGAACAAAACUGAGGGAGAGAUCAAUGUUCAAAAGAUAUACUCUUAAGGCUUUACACCAACAGAAAGAGUAAAAAAUUGUAAACUUUACCAAAACAAAACAUAAUAAUAACAUCGUAGACUCACCCUGAUGCAAUAAUGUUACAAAGAAAGAAGAAAAUUGGAAUCAAAUCGAAGAAGAGAGUAAGAGUGAACUCACCCAGGAGGAACAAAGAAGGUGCCGUAAGGGACAAGCAUGUAGCCAGUAGGGAGAGAAAGAGCCCCAACAAGAAGAAGAUUCAAAAGCUUUCUCUUUUCCAUGUCUGGAACUCUGUCUGCUGG